UGUGCGGUGCCUGGCAGCAGAUCAGGUGGCGGCGCAGCUUAAAACGAGGU
rfam:Marinospirillum alkaliphilum DSM 21637 genome assembly, contig: Ga0002112_scaffold00003.3